UAAAAAACGAAUUCCAGAAUGUUAUUGCGACAGCAGCGCACCGUAAAUAUGUUUGAUCCUUUUCACAACUGUUUAACUAGCACAAACCUUUAUGUAUAAAGAAGACCAUGGCUGCCUGGAUAACGUUAUGUUAGCUAGCAGCUCACCGUAACUAGCUAUGUUUUUAUCUUCUCAUUUGCAAAACUGUUAAGAUAACACUAACUUCAGAUUCGUCUUUGCUAACGUCUACGCGCUAGUUCAUCGCUUGAGGCAACCCUCAAUAUGUCGCCGUACGAUGGACCAGAACUAGCUGAAAGAUGUCUUGAUUGAUUUGCUAAUCAAGUACUGUAACGUUUUCAUGUUUCAGUUGGAUACUCCACAGUUUCCAUCAAUUAUGUGGUUAAUUUGCAACAAAAGAAACAGGGAAUUGGCCAACCAAAAUUUGUCUCAGAGCUGUAUGAUACAUUUCCCGUAGUGCAGGUAAUGUUGAUGUAUAAAGUAAUACUUUUUCAUUAUGAUAAAUAUCACAUUUCUCCAUGUAGUGGGAUAAUAACUAAAUAUAUAUUUUUUUUGCACAGGAUAAAUCCAGAACAAUCGAAGGUUUUAUACCGAAUGACAGUUGUGGCCUCAGACCCAUCACACUUUGAGUCCAAUAUACACUGUAUAAAACAUUUGGAACACCUUUGUAAUAUUGAGUUGACCUCUUUUGCCCAUAGAACAGCCUCAAUUAGUCAAGAGCAUGGACUCUACACAAGGUGUCAAGCGUUUCCACAGGAAUGAUGGCCAAUGUUGACUCCAAUUCUUCCCACAGUUGUCAAAUUGGCUGGAUUUAGGUGGUGAACCAUUUUUGAUACACACGGGAAACUGUUGUGUGAAACCCAGAAUCAUUUCAAUUCUUGACACUCAAACCGGUGUGUCUGACACCUAAUGUAAACUCACCCCAUUCCGUAUAAAUGUGUGCAACCACGACAUUCAAAAGAGGCUGCAAAGAAAAGUAAUGGGACUGUAGCGACUGUGUUGACUUCAACAUCUGGGGUGUGAACUACGUUUCUAUUCAAGCGUUGAUCGACAUGGUAAUGGCUCUAUAGUAUUGGAGAAAAGUUGAGAGAACCGACCCUCUGUUACAUCGUGACGUGUCAUGCCGUAACGUACAGCAGGCAUAAAGCUACUAUUUCUGUCUUACAAUCUCUCCACCAGAUGUAGCACCUCUUUCAUCGUUUAAAAACCAGAAAUGGACAGUGACUGGGUAAGGGGGAUACCUAGUCAUUUUUUGCGUCGUCACCGUAAGCGAUCAUUACUCUCAAAAGACAAUAUUUACUUCUGAAGAUCACUAUAGCACCGCCCUAAAAACCUGACUCAAAUUCGACACAGACCUUCAAAUAGGUAUGUAAUGACCCAUUAUAUUAACUCUUUAUAGUGUUUUAUUUACAUUUUAGAGGCGAUAAGGUGAUAAAUUGGACAGAUCAAGUGAAAAAAGGCAGUUUUUCCACAGGUGAUCUCUCCUUCUCACUAUCACGCAUUGGUUUCGAUUCCCCACCUGUCUUUUUUUUAAAGACCCGAUGGAGCUCAUUGCCUUGAAUUAUGCAGAAACGGGCAGCGUGAAGGUCAUGUAAUUUAUUUUGUUGGAAGGGGGAGAAAUUGUGCUUUACUAUGGUAUUAACAUUACAAUUGAUCUUGAAGUAUUAUGUUUUUGGGGCGCUAAAAUAAGGUCAAUUGUACGGACCAAGGCGAUGUACAAAAGUGAGUGAGUUUACGUUACUACUAUACCCCAUUCAAAGGCACUUAAAUCUUUUCUUGCCCAUACACCCUCUGAAUGGCGCACAUACAAUCCAUGUCUCAAGGCUUAAAAAUCCCUUUUUGACCUGUUUCCUUCCAUCUACACCAAUUUUAAGUGGAUUUAACAGGUGACCUCAAUAAGGGAUCAUGUCUUUCAGCUGGUCAGUCUGUCAUGGAAUGAGCAAGUGUUCCUAAGGUUUUGUAUACUCUGUGUGCAGUAGAAGUUUAAACAUUUGCUGUAUUCAUAUUGCAUGAUUCUUCAAAUAACAUCUGUCCCUUGCCAGAGACUAACUGCAGAGUACAAAGCCUAUGACUUAGUGGCUGUCUAUCCUAAAACUGAGAAGUUGUUUCAUGUAAGUACAUUUUUCAGCAUCAUUAUCCACUACUGACAAUGUAUGUUAGGAUAACCUUCUGUUCAUUUUGGUGUUCUACUUGUUUCAAUAGGCAGCUUGCAUGACAUUCGAUGUUGACAUCAUCUGUGUAGCAGUGACAGAAAAACAACCCUUCUCCAGUAAAUGGGGUAAGUAUGUAUACAGUGCCUUGCAAAAGUAUUCACGCCCCUUGGUUUUCUUCACAUUUUAUUUUUACAGCGGGAUUAAAAUUGAUGUUUUUUUUAAUCAGCAAUCUACACACACAGUACUGUCAGUGGAAGUAUUUUUUUUUUUAGAUACAAAUUCAUAACUACAAUAUAGUCAUUGCAUCAGUAUUCAUCACCUUUAUUUUGGCUAGGCUAAAUUAGUUCAGGAAUAAAAAUUUGUCUUAAAAAAAAUCACAUUAAGUUACAUGGACUAUGUCAAAUAAUAGGGGUUGACAUGAUUUUUGAAUGACUAACCCUUCCUCUGUCCCCCAUAAAUACAUCUGUAAUAUCCCUCAGUCAAGUAUUGCAUUUCAAGCACAGAUUCAACUACAAAGACCAGGAAGCUUUUCAAAAGCCUCAUGAAGAAGGGCACUAAGGUUAUAUUGCAAAGGAAUACACUUUUUGGCCUGAAUGCAAGGCCUUACGUUUGGGGAAAAUCCAAUACAUCACUGAGUAACUGCCUUAUUUUCAAGCAUGGUGGUGGCUGCAUCGUGGUAUGGGUAUGCAUGACAUUGGCAACUAUUGGAGAGUUUUUCUAGGAUAAAAAGAAACUGGGUGGUGUUAAGGACAUGGAAAACCUGGUUCAGUCUACUUUACACCAGAGACUGGGAGUUGAAUUCACCUUUCAGCAGAACUAUAACCUACAACACAAGGCCAAAUAAUGUUCCUGACUGGCCAAGUUACACUUUUGACUUAUCUGCUUGAAAAUCUAUGGCGAGACAUUUAAAAUGGCUGUGUAGCCAUGAUCCCUAACAUCUUGACAGAGCUUGAAGAAUUAUGAAAAGAAUAAUGGACAAAUAUUGCACAGUCCAGGUGUGAGAAGUUCUUAGACUUACCCAAGAAUCGAUGCCAAAAGUGUUUCUAACAUGUAUGGACUCAGAGGAGCUGAAUACUUAUGCAACAACUAUAUUUUAGUUAUAUCAUAUACUAAAUAUAAUUUAUUCCACUUUGACAGAGUAUUUUGUGUAUCCAAGGGGUCUGAAUAGUUUUGCAAGGCACUUGUCAGUAUUUGAAUUAACAACUUAUUUCACUUGUGUCUUAUUUCUUUUGGUUGGAGUGGAUACCUUUUUUUAUAUACAGUAAAAGUGAUGUAACUUAUUCUUGUUGAAAGAGGUGUGUUCAUUGAAAUAAGUUACGCACCUGCAAUCCGAGACUCCACCUUGAGAAGAUACACCAUCGCAAAUUCCAUCAGUCUUGUGGAGAUGUGCAAAGGAAAGGUAAACAAAUACACCCAUCGCGGUUCAUUAUCCACCUGCCAUUUUCAAACGGCGUAUGUAACCACAAUCUUUCAAUUAGAAUGUAACUGACGAGCGGGGCAGAAAAGGUACGAUAGAGAUGAGAUGUUGUCUUACCAACCUAGAUGACAAUCACAUGAACCUUGAGCACGUUAACAUCAUCCUGAAAUGAAUUUUACUAACGUAAAUGUGUUUUGUGUCCCUCCUCCUCGUUCAGUCCCUUGAGUUGAGGGGACCCUACAACAUUGGCAACUGGUAUCCUUACAUUACCUUCUACAGUACUUGAUGUAGGCUACUAGAAUAGAGUGCAGACUUAUGCAGGUGUGAUGAGGCCAACCUGUCUGUGCGGUUGUCCUGAAUGAGGUCUAGAGGCCUACUUUUUGGCAAAUCUGCAAUCUCCACCAACUGUUGUGUUGUCCACUUACAUGGAGGUGAAUAGGAUGCUGUUUAUUGAUCGAUCAAUUCAAUACGUUGGGUCAAAUUACAAAUGUUAUCUUCACUUGGGCUACUCACUGUCCCGUUUAACCAUCUAUGGAAUGUUAUUUUUUGUCAUUGAUCAAAUAACAGUCGUUAAACUAUUUACUACAUAAUGAUCAGUCUCAAAGCAGAAUUUGUGGCACAAGGGAACCAAUUAAUGUACUGUUGUCAUUCCAGAAACAAGAGACUGCCUUUGGUAUUGUACACAAUAUGAAGAAAGAUCAGCCAUUGAGAGACAGCCUCAGAGGGCUAAGAUUGAGACUGCAUAGUAGAAAGUAAAAUACUUUCGGAUGAAUAGAGAAUGUGUUUAUGUAAAUGCCCUUUUAUGAAUAUCUUUGUGUUAAUGUGACUGUUUUCUAAUGGUCAGUGGUUAUAUAGUUUGUCAUGGAUUAGCAACUAUGAUGAUGCUUGUUCCUUUUAGACAAAGGAAUCAAAUUCAGAUAGCAUUGCCUUUGCUGUCUAUUUAAUACAUUUACAGGUAAACAUGUAGUGGAAACAUUGCAGUUACUUCAGGAAGUGUAUUAAUACUACACAAGCAUUUUCAAAUCCUGUAUUCUCACUGACUACCACACAACCAGGUUGAAGCCACAGGCUUGCUUUCUGCGGAACAGUAUUGUUUUGUGACUAUCUUUUUAUAUUAAAGAGAAUUUAA